CCUCGCCUUGAGCUUCAAGA
rnacentral:misc_RNA from 1 species